rnacentral:rRNA from 1 species
GAUGAACGCUGGCGGCGUGCCUAAUACAUGCAAGUCGAGCGAACAGACGAGGAGCUUGCUCCUCUGACGUUAGCGGCGGACGGGUGAGUAACACGUGGAUAACCUACCUAUAAGACUGGGAUAACUUCGGGAAACCGUAGCUAAUACCGGAUAAUAUAUUGAACCGCAUGGUUCAAUAGUGAAAGACGGUUUUGCUGUCACUUAUAGAUGGAUCCGCGCCGCAUUAGCUAGUUGGUAAGGUAACGGCUUACCAAGGCAACGAUGCGUAGCCGACCUGAGAGGGUGAUCGGCCACACUGGAACUGAGACACGGUCCAGACUCCUACGGGAGGCAGCAGUAGGGAAUCUUCCGCAAUGGGCGAAAGCCUGACGGAGCAACGCCGCGUGAGUGAUGAAGGUCUUCGGAUCGUAAAACUCUGUUAUUAGGGAAGAACAAAUGUGUAAGUAACUAUGCACGCCUUGACGGUACCUAAUCAGAAAGCCACGGCUAACUACGUG